UUAACUCUGAGGAAGGUGGGGAUGACGUCAAAUCAUCAUGCCCCUUAUGACCUGGGCUACACACGUGCUACAAUGGUCGGUACAGAGGGUUGCCAAGCCGCGAGGUGGAGCUAAUCCCAGAAAACCGAUCGUAGUCCGGAUCGCAGUCUGCAACUCGACUGCGUGAAGUCGGAAUCGCUAGUAAUCGCGAAUCAGAAUGUCGCGGUGAAUACGUUCCCGGGCCUUGUACACACCGCCCGUCACACCAUGGGAGCUGGUUAUGCCCGAAGUCGUUAUACCAACCGUUUGGAGGAAGACGCCUAAGGUAGAGCUAGUGACUGGGGUGAAGUCGUAACAAGGUAGCCGUACUGGAAGGUGUGGCUGGAUCACCUCCUU
rnacentral:rRNA from 1 species